GCCCACAUAGCUCAGGAGGUAGAGCGCGUUCUUGGUAAGAACGAGGUCUCCGGUUCAACCCCGGAUGUGGGCU
rnacentral:tRNA from 1 species